rnacentral:rRNA from 1 species
CAGGGGAGCGAAAGGGAUUAGAUACCCCUGUAGUCCUGGCCGUAAACGAUGAACACUAGGUGUCGGGGGAAUCGACCCCCUCGGUGUCGUAGCCAACGCGUUAAGUGUUCCGCCUGGGGAGUACGCACGCAAGUGUGAAACUCAAAGGAAUUGACGGGGGCCCGCACAAGCGGUGGAGUAUGUGGUUUAAUUCGAUGCAACGCGAAGAACCUUACCAGGGUUUGACAUCCUGCGAACCCCUGAGAAAUCGGGGGGUGCCUUCGGGAACGCAGAGACAGGUGGUGCAUGGCUGUCGUCAGCUCGUGUCGUGAGAUGUUGGGUUAAGUCCCGCAACGAGCGCAACCCACGUCUUUAGUUGCCAGCAUUCAGUUGGGCACUCUAGAGAGACCGCCGGUGAUAAACCGGAGGAAGGUGUGGAUGACGUCAAGUCAUCAUGCCCCUUACAUCCUGGGCUACACACGUACUACAAUGCUACGGACAAAGGGCAGCAAGCUCGCGAGAGUAAGCAAAUCCCAUAAACCGUGGCUCAGUUCAGAUCGUAGGCUGCAACUCGCCUACGUGAAGGAGGAAUCGCUAGUAAUCGCAGGUCAGCAUACUGCGGUGAAUACGUUCCCGGGCCUUGUACACACCGCCCGUCACACCAUGGAAGUUGGCCACGCCCGAAGUCGUUACUCCAACCCUUGUGGAGGAGGACGCCGAAGGUGGGGCUGAUGACUGGGGUG